UCAUGGUGCUCUGGUUAAAGAACUGGCAGAAGGGCAAAGCUCAAAGAAUUGUAGUACAUGGAGCUGACAAAGAGUCAUCCACAGUGUUCCUCAGGUUUCAAAUCUAGGGCCAGUUCAGUUCAAUGUUCACUUUACUCCUUCAUUCCUGCAUUUUCUACCUCCUCUCUCCCCAGGUAGUACAAGUUUUCAGAGAGAUGCCAUGCCAUCAUCUUUGCUGUUUGAUACAGCAGUGUCCUGCAGUGGUUCAAUUUUGGAACUAGCUGGAACCAGCUGUUUCUGGUGUGUUGGAUUGAAUUUCCAAGGAAAAAAUGUUCAUGUUUCAACUUUAGCAAGCUAUAUAGUGGUUUAAUGUGGAUUUACUCUGGCUGUCUUCAAAACUGUCAUGUUACUCAGCUGUUCUGUAUGUUUCUUAACUCUGUUCACACUUGAAUCAGUUUAGGUCAGACAGAAGCCCAAAGUGAAAGCACUCCUGUUUCUCUACUAAGUUCUAAAUUUCUGUUUGCAGUGGUUUGAAAAAAACUAAUCCAGGGUUGACACUAUACUAUUCUAAGCGUGAUCUGUUCCUUAUGGUCUGUAAAUACUUGCUGGUCAAAACAGUCUGCAAGCAUUGUCUGCCACGUGUAUUAAAUAAAUAA